AGCGAACGCUGGCGGCAGGCUUAACACAUGCAAGUCGAGCGGGCACUUCGGUGUCAGCGGCAGACGGGUGAGUAACACGUGGGAACGUACCCUUUGGUUCGGAAUAACGCUGGGAAACUAGCGCUAAUACCGGAUACGCCCUUUUGGGGAAAGGCUUGCUGCCGAAGGCUCGGCCCGCGUCUGAUUAGCGGGUUGGUGGGGGAAUGGCCUACCAAGGCGACGAUCAGUAGCUGGUCUGAGAGGAUGCUCAGCCACACUGGAACUGAGACACGGCCCAGACUCCGACGGGACGGAGCAGUGGAGAAUAUUGGACAAGGGGCGCAAGCCUGAUCCCGCCGUGCCGGGUAAGUGAGGAAGGCGUUAGGGUUGUAAAGCUCUUUUGGACGGGACGAUAAUGACGGUACCGGAAGAAUAAGCCCCGGCUAACUUCGUG
rnacentral:rRNA from 1 species